GGAGCGGUGAGCCAGGGAAGGAAAGGAGUGAGUCCAAGAAAGGCUUUCUUAAAGCAGGCCGCAACUCACAAGUAGGUCCAGGGUUUGCUCCUGCCUCAGAACAUCUCAGGGCCCUUAGGAAAUGCUGGCCUUUGAAAUAAUCUGUUGUGUGUGUUGGGGAGGGGGGGUGCCCCCUUUUCAUCUCUGUCAUAAAAUUCUCAAGGAACAUGAGCUCCUCAACCCCUCACACCAGAAAAGGGUGUCUCAGCAGCCCAGCCUGUGGUGAGAAUGAGCAGGCAGAAGCUCGUCUGGGGAGGAUGCCAUGAGUGCUUCCCACCAAGAACUCCAGCGAGGCUGUUUCAGUGGGACCUCCCUGCUCCUUUCUGCUGAACUUGAAGGGUGGCCCCGUGAAGACAAAGGCAGAGAUUAGAGGACUCCAAGUCAAGGAACACUGAAGAGUGCCAGGAGCCACUGGGAGCUGGAAGAGACAGUGAAGAGUUCUUCCCAUAGCCCUUGGAAACGGAAGCUCUGCCAGAGCCCUGACCUCAGACCUCUGUCCUCCAAGACUGCGGUAGGAUGACAGGCAACACAUUUCUACUGCUUUAACCUGUCGCAUGAAACAGUGCAAAAGCUGAGAAUGGUCUGUGAGGUUCAAAACCACGGAGGUCAUGGUGACUUUGACAAGAAGUAUCAUGUGGAAUGGUGAGACAGAAACCCUCAUGAGAAUGCUUUCCCAGGCAAAUGGGGAAGAGGAUAUAGCAAGCGUGCAUAUUCUAGGCCUGAGAUUGCAAAAUGACUGGCCAACAAGAAAUGGGGAACCUGUCACAUGACUGCAAGAAACCGAGUUCUACUAACAGCCACAUGAGCUUGGAAGACAAGCCUGGAAUCUAGAAAGAAAUGCUGCCCGGCUGACAUCCUACCACAGCCUAUGUUAACCCAGGCUGUGCUGACCCCACACUCACUACUAUGGUUUGAACAUGGGUCAUGUGGUGAAUGCUUGGUUUCCAGCUGAUGGUGUUAUCUCAGGAGAUGAUGGUGUUAUCUCAGGAGAUGAUGGUAUUAUCUCAGGAGAUGAUGGUGUUAUCUCAGGAGAUGAUGGUGUUAUCUCAGGCGAUGCUGGAAUCCUCAGAUGAGGCCUUGCUGGAGGAAGGGGGUCAUGGGAAGUGCUAUUUUGAAGUCUAUGUGUGGUCCCUACCUACUCUUUUGCUUCCCAUCUGCCAUGAAGUAAACAGCCUCUUCCACAUGCUCCUCCAGUCAUGAUGCACCCAGAAUCAAUGAAACCAAGGCCUGUGGGCUGACAUCUCCAGAGCUGUGAGCAAAAUAAACCAUUCAUCCCCUGGGUUGCUUCAAGUAUUCAGGGGACAG